AGCAGCCUCGGUAAUUCCAGCUCCAAUAGCGUAUAUUAAAGUUGCUGCAGUUAAAAAGCUCGUAGUUGAAUUUCGGGACCGAUAUAUCGGUCGUGCCUCGGUACGUACUGGUAUUUUCGGUUUCUCCCUUCUGACGAACCUUGAUAUCAUUAAUUUGGUGUCUUGGGAAAUCAGGACUGUUACUUUGAAAAAAUUAGAGUGUUUAAAGCAGGCUCACGCUUGAACACAUUAGCAUGGAAUAAUGAAAUAGGACGUUUGAUUCUAUUUUGUUGGUUUCUAGGAUCGACGUAAUGAUUAAUAGGGAUAGUUGGGGGCAUUAGUAUUCAAUUGUCAGAGGUGAAAUUCUUGGAUUUAUUGAAGACUAACUACUGCGAAAGCAUUUGCCAAGGAUGUUUUCAUUAAUCCAGAACGAAAGUUAGGGGAUCGAAGACGAUCAGAUACCGUCAUAGU
rnacentral:rRNA from 1 species